AUGCCCACGCUGUCCCCUCCAUACCCAUUCUAUCCCCUGUAUCCCACACUGUCCCACCUUCCUCCCACUUCCCCUCUUCUCCCAAACUGUCCCUCUAUCCCCACGCUGUCCCCUCUAUUCCACACUGUCCUCUCUAUCCCCAGAUUGUCCCUCCAUCCCCACACUGACCCCUCUGUCCCACUUCCCCACUGUCCCCUCUCUCCCACAUUGUCCCUUCCAUCCUCAUGCUAUCCCCCCAUUCCUACACUGUCCUAUCAAACUCCCAUUCCAGAUACCAGAAUCUUCCACCACACAAGCACUGUUCCCUCCACUCCCAGUCCCACAGUCAUUCCAUCCUCAGUGUCCCUGCAUCCCUGUGCUGCCCCCUCCAUCCCAACACUGUCCAUCCAUCCAUCCAUCCAUCCAUCCAUCCAUCAUCCAUCCAUCAUCCAUCAUCCAUCCAUCCAUCCAUCAUCCAUCAUCCAUCCAUCCAUCAUCCAUCCAUCAUCCAUCAUCCAUCCAUCCAUCAUCCAUCCAUCAUCCAUCAUCCAUCCAUCCAUCAUCCAUCCAUGCUGUCCUACUGAACUCCCACCCAUCCCUGGAUACCAGAAUGUCCCAGCACACAAGCACUGUUUCCCCCACGUCCUUCUAUCGCCGCACCAUCACCCCCAUCCCCGUGCUGUCCCUCUAACUCUGUGCUGUCCCUCCAUCCCCGUGCUGUCCCUGCAUCCCCGUGCUGUCCUUCCAUCCUUGUGCUGUCCCUCCAUCCCCGUGCUGUCCCUCCAUCCCCGUGCUGUCCCUCCAUCCCCGUGCUGUCCCUCCAUCCCCGUGCUGUCCCUCCAUCCCCGUGCUGUCCCUCCAUCCCCGUGCUGUCCCUCCAUCCCCGUGCUGUCCCUCCAUCCCCGUGCUGUCCCUCCAUCCCCGUGCUGUCCCUCCAUCCCCGUGCUGUCCCUCCAUCCCCGUGCUGUCCCUCCAUCCCCGUGCUGUCCCCUCCAUCCCCACGCUACGCCCCCAUCCCUCCGCCGUCCCACUGAACUCCCACCCCACUGCCGGACACCAGACCGUCCCACCACCCCACCGCUGUCCCCCCUGGGGGGGGGGGGGGGGGGGGGGGGG
rnacentral:lncRNA from 1 species